UAUCUUGACAUUUAUUCAAUACUACUAUAUAAUAACUAUGUGCAUUUUUACACUAUGGCAAUAAAAUUACCUUGCAAUAGGUGUAUUGGACCCGAGGGCAGUACUCGGCGCCUCCACCAUAUUUUUAAUUUACAUGGGGGCGAAUAAGGAUCGACAUGCAUAGUAAAGAAUGGUAACUUUGCUCGGUUAGAUACCACCGCUAAGAGUUCAUAAUUUAGAUGCAAACGAUAAUUUUGCUGCUAGCGGUAAUGAAUUCCGUGUUGCUGCUUGAUUUAGCACAACCAGUUUAUUACUAAAGCACGGUUCAGGGGACGCCGGGUAACAGAAGUUCCCCCGA
rnacentral:tmRNA from 1 species